rnacentral:lncRNA from 1 species
CCAGGUCAAGUGGUACACCGGCCUUGAUCGGUAACCUCCAUCCAAGUGCCCUCCCCCUUCCUCUGUCUCCACUUCGUAUUCUCCUCCCUGACUAAAUGCUAUCCACCUAUACAGUCCAACCCUGGAAACCUCUGCCUAGAUUAGUCAGUUUUUGCUUUUCCGUUCAAUCUUCUUUCUUUCUCUGCCACCAAAGCUGGCACCAAGCCACCAACUAUUAUCUCUACCGUACCACACCACAUGUGCUUCACACGUGUUUGGUAAUCCUGUAAACUCGU